CAAUAGCGCAUAUUAAAGUUGUUGCAGUUAAAAAGCUCGUAGUUGGAUUUCGGGGCAGCCUGGCUGGUCCGCCGCAAGGCGAGUACUGGUCAGCCGCCCUUCCUCUCGAAAGCCCCGACUGCUCUUCGUUGCAGUGGUCGGGUAGUUCGGGACGUUUACUUUGAAAAAAUUAGAGUGUUCAAGGCAGGCCUACGCCUGAAUACAUUAGCAUGGAAUAAUGGAAGAGGACCUCGGUCCUAUUUUGUUGGUUUCCAGGGCCGAAGUAAUGAUUAAGAGGGACAGUUGGGGGCAUUCGUAUUUAAUUGUCAGAGGUGAAAUUCUCGGAUUUAUGAAAGACGAACAACUGCGAAAGCAUUUGCCAAGGAUGUUUUCAUUAA
rnacentral:rRNA from 1 species